rnacentral:rRNA from 1 species
AACGAACGCUGGCGGCAUGCCUAACACAUGCAAGUCGAACGAGACCUUCGGGUCUAGUGGCGCACGGGUGCGUAACGCGUGGGAACCUGCCUUUAGGUUCGGAAUAACUCAGAGAAAUUUGAGCUAAUACCGGAUAAUGUCUUCGGACCAAAGAUUUAUCGCCUUUAGAUGGGCCCGCGUAAGAUUAGCUAGUUGGUGGGGUAAAGGCCUACCAAGGCGACGAUCUUUAGCUGGUCUGAGAGGAUGAUCAGCCACACUGGGACUGAGACACGGCCCAGACUCCUACGGGAGGCAGCAGUGGGGAAUAUUGGACAAUGGGCGAAAGCCUGAUCCAGCAAUGCCGCGUGAGUGAUGAAGGCCUUAGGGUUGUAAAGCUCUUUUACCCGAGAUGAUAAUGACAGUAUCGGGAGAAUAAGCUCCGGCUAACUCCGUGCCAGCAGCCGCGGUAAU